AACUUUUUUUUUGAGAUAAAGCAUUCCAUUAACUUAACGUGCAUAUCGCCGGCAAGAUACAAAUCCAGGGAAUUGACCCAGGCAGGUUUCUAUGUAACCCUUCCCGUACUGGCACUAUGCACAGCUAAAGUGCACGCUACUUUUUUACAAUCUCCACUACAGUGUUCAACACCUGCAAUAUUUAAGCCCACCAUGCGCAGCUAAAGUAUGGGCUCUCUUUGUUACAAUCUCUACUACAAUGUUCAACACUUACCACAUUUAAGCCCACAUGCAUUUAAGCCCACACACAUUUGAAAUUUAACAUCCUAGAAUAAAGAGCCUAGUGCUGAAAGAUCAUGAUUUGUAGCAGAACGGCUUGGUCAUUUCUAAUAGCAAAUUUGCUUCAGUAAAUGACAUGUCUGUAUUUAUCUUCAGGGUUCCAAUAGGAGGUGACUUCCAUUUUUGCUCCAUCUUCUUGUUUGGUUCAUUCUUGUGUGACCUGGCCAACAUAAAAUUAAGUAAAUGAUACAUAAUAGAUGAUGAUGAUGAUGAUGAUGAUGAUGAUGAUAUUUCAGGAAUGGUUCUCGUAGUGUCACCAUUAUUUACUCUUUAUUUCUUUCAUGCCAGCCACAAUAAGAAACAAACUUUAUUACAUUCUUCCUCAUUGAGUUUAAAGAUACCAGCCUAUAGUAUCUGGCACUACCUAUAUAGAAUCAACACAUCUCAUAUAUUUGCAAUGAGCAUAAAAUAUUUCAUAGUACACUCUUUCACAUGUUUAUGUUACUUACCGCACUUUAUGUAUUGAAGAGUUACACUUGGUGAAACUAUGAACCCUAGUCCAAUUUUUAACAUAAGAAUCAUCUUUCAACAACUUUUACAUGCACUUUUAUUUUAUUACAAAAAUACAAAAAAAAAUCUACCACCGUAUCUUUUAAUUGCCUUGUGCAACUAGCAAGCUUGACACCCUUCAAGACUGUUGGGGAUACAAAUGAAGUUUAUUUGUGUUGUAGAACAUUACCAUUAUUAUAGGACGAGUGAAUUGCAGAAAACCACCACAUUGAAGCGUCGUGUUGCAGAAAAGACUCUUCUACGAAUUUGUGCCAGAAAACACUGAAUUUUGUCCUAAUCAUUUGCAGAAACCACCUAACUUUCUGUUCGAGCAUUUUAACCUCUCUUAUGACAUGUGGAUCCCGCAUUUGCUGACGUGGCAUAACGUUUCAUGGUAGAUGCCGUUAGACUGGUAUUUUUCCAAAAAGAACCUUCCUCCCAAUCCCUCCCCUACCCAAUCCAUAUUGUCACCGAGCUUCCCUCCUCGCGCCAGCUGAUGUUGUCGCCGGCGGCGUGCAUGCAGGGACAUGGCGAAGUGCGCCAGAGAGCGAUGUCGGAGACGUGGAGCAGCUGCUCCGGCUGGGCCACCGGACCUCGCGCUAGUCUGCCGCGAGCAAGUCAUCCGGGAGCGGCGGCGGGGCUCGUCUACGCAGCCGCUUGGUGUGGCGACCUGCCGGAGCUGCAGGACGCCUGCACCCUCCUCACCGCCAAGUUCGGCAGAGCUGCUCCGGCUGGGCCACCGGACCUCGCGCUAGUCCGCCGCGAGCAGGUCAUCCGGGAGCGGCGGCGGGGCUCGUCUACGCAGCCGCCUGGUGUGGCGACCUGCCGGAGCUGCAGGACGCCUGCGCCCUCCUCGCCGCCAAGUUCGGCAGAGCU
rnacentral:lncRNA from 1 species